GGUGAACGCUGGCGGUAGGCCUAACACAUGCAAGUCGAACGGUAGCACAGUAAGAGCUUGCUCUUACGGGUGGCGAGUGGCGGACGGGUGAGGAAUACAUCGGAAUCUACUUUUUCGUGGGGGAUAACGUAGGGAAACUUACGCUAAUACCGCAUACGACCUACGGGUGAAAGCAGGGGAUCUUCGGACCUUGCGCGAUUGAAUGAGCCGAUGUCGGAUUAGCUAGUUGGCGGGGUAAAGGCCCACCAAGGCGACGAUCCGUAGCUGGUCUGAGAGGAUGAUCAGCCACACUGGAACUGAGACACGGUCCAGACUCCUACGGGAGGCAGCAGUGGGGAAUAUUGGACAAUGGGCGCAAGCCUGAUCCAGCCAUACCGCGUGGGUGAAGAAGGCCUUCGGGUUGUAAAGCCCUUUUGUUGGGAAAGAAAAGCAGCAGGUUAAUACCCCGCUGUUCUGACGGUACCCAAAGAAUAAGCACCGGCUAACUUCGUG
rnacentral:rRNA from 1 species